CCUCGGCCUGGACUACCGCAUCUGCGCCGCCACCGCCGGCGCCAUGGGCGGCUCCAAGUCCGAGGAGUUCCUCGCCCCGGCCGAGGCC
rnacentral:tRNA from 2 species